ensembl:lncRNA
GUGAUUGAUACGCGAAUGACGGCCACGGUACGUUUAAUCUCUCGGCUGCAGUUCCGUCGCCGCGGGCGAUGAGUGUUGUUUCUCUCUGCGACUCGGCCGACGAUGAAAAAAGGGUCACGGCGCAAGACUGGUCGGAUCCUCCGGAACGCCACAUCUCCUCGCCACCUUAUUUCAACCCCUCGGCGUCUCAUACGCACAAACGCCGUGCAAGCUGACCGGCCGACCCAGCGAAGCCCCGUGGAGCAUCACCGAGACGCCGAUCGGCCUCCAAGGGCAGGAAAUGGAACCAAGUGUUGGGAAGCGGUUUGUGAACGGACCCCAACGCGUUAUUUCAUGACGUCUUUGUGACUGAUAUGCUUUUAAUGAGCAUGAAUUUUGAAACCGACUGUGAGAUGUGGGGACGUGUGCAGAUUAAAUUCAUCAGACGAGGCGCUUCUGCUCCACCAAACAGGAGAUCGCUUAACAGUCUCAUAGUCUCAUAACCAGUUAAAAGUUCCUCUUUGGUCAACUUUAGGCCAAAAAACUACUCAGUUGAGGGAAAGUUGAGACAAAAUAAUGACUUAAUGUUUUGGGACAAAGUCCCCAUUUGACACUGCAGGUAAAUCCUGUGAAAUAUACUACAUGAAAUAAGUGUUCAC